rnacentral:rRNA from 1 species
UACGAAGGGUGCAAGCGUUACUCGGAAUUACUGGGCGUAAAGCGUGCGUAGGUGGUUCGUUAAGGCUGAUGUGAAAGCCCUGGGCUCAACCUGGGAAUGGCAUUGGAAACUGGCGACCUAGAGUGCGGUAGAGGGUAGUGGAAUUCCCGGUGUAGCAGUGAAAUGCGUAGAGAUCGGGAGGAACAUCUGUGGCGAAGGCGACUGCCUGGACCAGCACUGACACUGAGGCACGAAAGCGUGGGGAGCAAACAGG